GACAGAGGUGCCAAGCGUUAGGCGGAAUCACUGGGCUUAAAGCGUGUGUAGGCGGGUGCCUAAGUACCUUGUGAAAUCCCACGGCUCAACCGUGGAACUGCUGGGUAUACUGGGUGCCUUGGGUCAUCUAGGGGCUGCCGGAACAAAUGGUGGAGCGGUGAAAUGCGUAGAUAUCAUUUGGAACGCCAACGGUGAAAACAGCUCGCUGGGGGUGUGCUGACGCUGAGACACGAAAGCCAGGGUAGCGAACGGG
rnacentral:rRNA from 1 species